rnacentral:lncRNA from 1 species
AGUCAAAAUCUUUGUAGAAGUGAAAGUACUGUACCAGAAGAACAAAAUUGAGACAAAACCUUUGAGAGCCACGGUACUCACCGUAUUUUCCAAAAAUAACAAGCUCAUGGGAUUUUGGAAGCUAGGGUUUUUGAAGGCUAUUUAAGGGGUCUUUUUCAAAGGUUUCUGAGGGGAGGCAGCAAGCAGUUUCUUUAGAGAAAAAGAGCCAAAAACAAAGCAAGAAAGCAAGAGAAUUAGAGAGAGAAUCAAGAUCAUAAGCUUCAAUUAUUAGUUUUUUCUCUCUACUUUUGAGUUUUUCUUAUUUUCUUGGACUUGGAUCAAUGGCUAAUUUUCCUUGGAUGAAGUUUUUAUUAAAUAUUAUAAACUAAACUAUUUUUCUAGGAUUGCAAUUGAACUCAC